UACGUAGGUGGCAAGCGUUGUCCGGAUUUACUGGGCGUAAAGAGCGCGCAGGCGGUCGAUCAAGUCGCGUGUGAAAGCCCCCGGCUCAACUGGGGAGGGUCACGCGAUACUGAUCGACUCGAAGGCAGGAGAGGGUAGUGGAAUUCCCGGUGUAGUGGUGAAAUUCGUAGAUAUUCGCAAGAACACCAGUGGCGAAGGCGGCUCACUGGCCCGGUACUGACGCUGAGGUGCGAAAGCGUGGGGAGCGAACAGG
rnacentral:rRNA from 1 species